GACGAAGCUCCACUGCUACUCAUGUAAGGUGGAGGCGGAGGAGGUUGAGGUGAAGAGGCAGUAACUGGAGAGUGUGGAGGCCGUGAAGCCCCUGCAGGUGGCGGAAAUGGUUUUGGUGGAAUUGAAACAACAUGAUCCGCAGGUGGUGGCGCAUUAUGAUGCCAAUGGUGCACAGGGUCACCAUAAGGGUCUGCUGGCAAAUGACAUAGACACAGUCAUGAGUAUAAAAUGAUCAGAUUAUGGCAAUUGACAUUAACACAUUCACCUUUCAAUAAUCGAGUACUUAAUAUAUUAAUAAGCAGUUUAUUUAUAGCUAAAAAUUAGCUUAAGCUUUUAAAAAAGUAUGUUUCACUAGCAAGUUAUCUGAAGCUUCUGAGUGAUCUUGUCAUACAGAGGCCUUCUCUUACUUUUUUAAUCAAGCGGAUUCAAGCCUCAUCAUACAAAGGCUUUUGUUGCUUACACAUCAAAAAAGUGUUACAUCGUCCACAAAAUAUACAAUGUGCCAAUAGUACACAAAUGCAAGGACAAUUUUCUUUCCCUGCAACAAAUUUCAAGACCCCAAGAAAGAAAUGGGCAGCGAAGAAUACGUCAUCGUUAACUUUGCUUACCCAUAGAAUACGUACAGCAUUUUUCACUUAUCCCCCCCCCCCCCCCAAAACCCCAAAGGAAAAAGAAAGAAAGAGGGAGAGAGAGAGAGAGAGAUUAUUGGUGAAAACUGAAAAGACAGACAAGCUUUUAAUGAUCAACCAAGUGGGAUCAAUAAUGCCAACUUCAGCAAGCAUGGGAAAAUUUGACAAAAUAAUGCCUUGAACCUCUGGCAUGAUAAUUCAAAAAUAGCCAGACCAAAUGAUGCCAAUUCAAAAAAAUAAUACUGUAAUAAUCAUAAUCUAUGCCACUCCCAAGAUUGACCCAAUGAACCAAGCAACAUUACACGAUGAAACGGAAAGUGGUUCAAAGUGAAUCCCGAUUUGAAAAGGAUAGAUCUUGCCUUUAUACCCCAUAGGUGGUGGUUGUGCAGGAGGAUAGUACUCAACUGGACCAUGAUUUCUCCUCUUCUUCCUCCUGCUGCAACAUAUGAACAACAAACUCAACACUGCCAGAAUCAGAACGCCCCCAAUGGCUAUUCCCACCACCAAUCCGGUCGAUACGCCCGAGGACCCUUCAUCUGACGCCGGUGAGAAAGACGACGAACCUCCUCCUCCUCCUCCUCUAGGACCCGCCGGAGACCUCCCUGACCCUGAAGGUGCCGGCGGUGAAGGCGAAGAACCAGAUGGCGGAGAAGGUGGCGAAGGAGGAGACCCAGAUGGUGCUGGGGUUGAUUGUGUUGUUGGUGGCGCUGGGGUGUAGGAGGAAGGAGCAGAGGUGGAAGGUGGUGGAGGAGAGGCAGAGGCCGUGGGCGGCGGAGUGGUGGCCGGUGGCGUAGGGCUAGUAGGAGGAGGAGCUUGUGCAGGAAGAGCUGGUGGAGAGGCCGUCGCAGUUGGCGGAGGAGAAGUAGAGUUAGUAGGAGGCGCC
rnacentral:lncRNA from 1 species